rnacentral:rRNA from 1 species
UUAGGAAUUUUGGGCAAUGGCCGCAAGGCUGACCCAGCAACGCCGCGUGGGGGACGAAGGCCUUCGGGUUGUAAACCCCUUUUCCCAGGGACGAUAGUGACGGUACCUGGGGAAUCAGCCCCGGCUAACUACGUGCCAGCAGCCGCGGUAAUACGUAGGGGGCGAGCGUUGUCCGGAUUUAUUGGGCGUAAAGCGCGGGCAGGCGGCCCGGUAAGUCGGCCGUGAAAGCGCCGGGCUCAACUCGGCGAGGACGGGCGAGACUGCCAGGCUGGAGCAAGGCAGAGGGCGGUGGAAUUCCGGGUGUAGUGGUGGAAUGCGUAGAGCUCCGGAGGAACACCAGUGGCGAAGGCGGCCGCCUGGGCCUUUGCUGACGCUGAGCCGCGAAAGCGUGGGGAGCGAGCCG